GAGCAAUUAACUCAAUUGGUAGAGUAUUUCGUUUACACCGAAAAGGUUAAUAGGUUCAAAUCCAUUAUUGCUCA
rnacentral:tRNA from 2 species